UACGUAGGGACCGAGCGUUGUCCGGAUUCAUUGGGCGUAAAGAGCUCGUAGGCGGCUUGUCAAGUCGGGUGUGAAACCUCCAGGCUCAACCUGGAGACGCCACUCGAGACUGUCAUGGCUAGAGUCCGGUAGGGGAUCACGGAAUUCCUGGUGUAGCGGUGAAAUGCGCAGAUAUCAGGAGGAACACCGAUGGCGAAGGCAGGUGAUCUGGGCCGGUACUGACGCUGAGGAGCGAAAGCGUGGGUAGCAAACGGG
rnacentral:rRNA from 1 species